ACUCGGCUAGGUAUUAUAUCAAGUGAAGCGCGUGUUUUUAAGCGCAACUGACGUGGAAAGCUAACUAAUUAAAAGACGCCAACUGUUUUAAUACGCCACAUCAGAUUUCUAAGUAGGCAAAAAAUUAAAGACCCGUUCAUUACUAAGUAGGCACCCGUUCUCUCUCCCUGUUAACCCCAAUUGAAGAAUGGCGAUUAGAGGUCCGAAAAAUCCCUAGAAAAAUUCCAUCAAUUACCUUUGAUUCUUACAAUAUUUUCAGUUUAUUCUCUUCAAUUUAUCACUGAAAUCAUCUCUUCUUUCGUAUGUUGUGGGUUGUAUGUUUAUUUACGGUUAUUUUGCGGAAGUUAUCGAUUACGAUUUGAAGAUUCGAGUUAAUUUUUUGGGAAGACUGUCAACGACUAAUGUUAUUGGAUUGUCUAUGACUCAAGAGUUGGCAGGAAUGGAAACCAGUAAAUAUUUCCAAUUGCCUGGGCUGUUUUAGACCAGGAGACCAAGCAUAUCUGGUUAAUUACCUGAUAGAAGAUCUUCAAUUAGGAAGUGGACGGGGGCUUACUGUGCUGUCAGAUAUGCAGAAGGGGCUUGUGCCAACUAUACUUGAACUUCUACCUGACUGUGAGUACAGGAUGUGUGCAAGACACAUCUGGUCUAACUUGCAGCAACACUGGAAAGGAGAGGAGAGGAAAAAGCAAUUUUAGAGAUGUACUAAAUCAGGUUAUGAAGUCAAAUUAAAAGAGGAGAUGGCAAAACUUGAUAAGCUUGAUAAGCAUAUUUGUGAAGACUUGUUAAAAUACAGAAAAGAAACAUGGUGUAUAGCAUACUUUAAAGAGCAUGCCAAGUGUGACAUUGUUAAAAAUAAUACGUGUGAGACUUUUAACUCCUGGAUUUUA